rnacentral:rRNA from 1 species
UCGGGAAUUUUGCGCAAUGGACGAAAGUCUGACGCAGCAACGCCGCGUGAGGGAUGACGGCCUUCGGGUUGUAAACCUCUUUAUCAGGGAAGAUGAUGACGGUACCUGAUGAAUAAGUCACGGCUAACUACGUGCCAGCAGCCGCGGUAAUACGUAGGUGACAAGCGUUGUCCGGAUUUACUGGGCGUAAAGAGCGCGCAGGCGGUCGUUCAAGUCGAGUGUGAAAGCCCCCGGCUCAACUGGGGAGGGUCAUUCGAUACUGAUCGACUCGAAGGCAGGAGAGGGUAGUGGAAUUCCCGGUGUAGUGGUGAAAUGCGUAGAUAUCGGGAGGAACACCAGUGGCGAAGGCGACUACCUGGCCUGUUCUUGACGCUGAGGCGCGAAAGCUAGGGGGAGCAAACGGGAUUAGAUACCCCCGGUAGUCCUAGCCGUAAACGAUGGGACACUAGGUGUUGGUGGUAUCAACCCCGCAGUGCCGAAGCUAACGCAUUAAGUGUCCCGCUGGGGA